rnacentral:rRNA from 1 species
AGAGUUUGAUCCUGGCUCAGAUUGAACGCUGGCGGCAUGCCUUACACAUGCAAGUCGAACGGCAGCGCGGGGCAACCUGGCGGCGAGUGGCGAACGGGUGAGUAAUAUAUCGGAACGUACCCUGGAGUGGGGGAUAACGUAGCGAAAGUUACGCUAAUACCGCAUACGAUCCAAGGAUGAAAGCAGGGGACCGCAAGGCCUUGUGCUCCAGGAGCGGCCGAUAUCUGAUUAGCUAGUUGGCGGGGUAAAAGCCCACCAAGGCAUCGAUCAGUAGCUGGUCUGAGAGGACGACCAGCCACACUGGAACUGAGACACGGUCCAGACUCCUACGGGAGGCAGCAGUGGGGAAUUUUGGACAAUGGGCGCAAGCCUGAUCCAGCAAUGCCGCGUGAGUGAAGAAGGCCUUCGGGUUGUAAAGCUCUUUUGUCAGGGAAGAAACGGUGGUGGCUAAUAUCUACUACUAAUGACGGUACCUGAAGAAUAAGCACCGGCUAACUACGUGCCAGCAGCCGCGGUAAUACGUAGGGUGCAAGCGUUAAUCGGAAUUACUGGGCGUAAAGCGUGCGCAGGCGGUUUUGUAAGUCUGUCGUGAAAUCCCCGGGCUCAACCUGGGAAUGGCGAUGGAGACUGCAAGGCUAGAGUUUGGCAGAGGGGGGUAGAAUUCCACGUGUAGCAGUGAAAUGCGUAGAUAUGUGGAGGAACACCGAUGGCGAAGGCAGCCCCCUGGGUCAAGACUGACGCUCAUGCACGAAAGCGUGGGGAGCAAACAGGAUUAGAUACCCUGGUAGUCCACGCCCUAAACGAUGUCUACUAGUUGUCGGGUCUUAAUUGACUUGGUAACGCAGCUAACGCGUGAAGUAGACCGCCUGGGGAGUACGGUCGCAAGAUUAAAACUCAAAGGAAUUGACGG